GGAUAUGUGCCCGAAAAUAGGGUUCACUUUGAUAGGGUGAUAUAUAGAGGUUAAAAUCCUCUCCUCUCCU
rnacentral:tRNA from 1 species